GGGGACAGAGAGCACCAUGGCCAGGGCUCUUCUCUGCCUUUUGUUCUUCUCUCAUUUUACAGGUUCCCUCUCCCAGUCUAUACUGGCUCAGCCUCCCACCCUCUCUGCAUCUCCUGGAUCAACAGCCAGACUCACAUGCACCCUGAGCAGUGAUAUCAAUGUUGGCAGCAAGCGCAUCAACUGGUACCAGCAGAAGGAUGGGAGUACUCCCAGGUAUCUCCUGAGCUACUACUCUGACUCGGAUAAGCACCAAGGCUCCGGGGUACCUAGCCGCUUCUCUGGAUCCAAAGACACUUCAAAAAAUGCAGGACUUCUGCUCAUCUCUGGGCUCCAGGCUGAGGAUGAGGCUGACUAUUACUGUACUGUAUGGCCCAAUGACAAUACUGGUUACACAGUGCUCCAGACCUAUGAGGAACUGAGACCAAAACCUCUCCUGUGUCUCUCUGCAUCCAAAAAUCACCUUUGAGAUAUUCAUGACACAGGUCAUUUCUGGAAUCUGCUUCACUACCAGCAAGCCCAGCUCCCUGCUGUCAUCAUGAGCAUGAAUUCCAGAAGAUACCCCUUGUGUAACUUAGUUACUAACUUAACAGAAAAAAAAGUAUAUGGGCGGGAUAAUGUCCCUGACCCAUCAUACACUGUGUUGUGUGCAUGAGGCACGUUAGUAACUAGAAAUGUGUAAAUAUUGCUGAGCAUGUUAUAUUAAUUAGCCCCACUACUUUCUGUUUGUCAGGGUCAACACAUGGCACUCCUAUUUUUGAAGUACAGUCAAAUAAUAACAGUCACACACUAAGCAGUGAUUUAUCUGGGGAUGCCAAAAUAUCUUCCUUGGUUAGUGUCUUCAGUGGGUUUACACUGUGA